CCUAGACUCUUUUGACUCUAGACUUCUAGAUCUAUCUAAAUCUAAGUCAUUCUAAGUCUAAACACUAAGUUAAUCU